rnacentral:rRNA from 1 species
UACGUAGGGGGCAAGCGUUGUCCGGAUUUAUUGGGCGUAAAGAGCGUGUAGGCGGCUUUACAGGUCCGUUGUGAAAACUCGAGGCUCAACCUCGAGACGCCGGUGGAAACCGUAAAGCUAGAGUCCGGAAGAGGAGAGUGGAAUUCCUGGUGUAGCGGUGAAAUGCGCAGAUAUCAGGAAGAACACCGGUGGCGAAGGCGGCUCUCUGGACCGAUACUGACGCUGAGGCGCGAAAGCGUGGGGAGCAAACAGG